AGCAGCCGCGGUAAUUCCAGCUCCAAUAGCGUAUAUUAAAGUUGUUGCAGUUAAAAAGCUCGUAGUUGAAUUUCGGGGUUAGUAGGUUGGUCAUGCCUCUGGUAUGUACUGGUCUCACUGAUUCCUCCUUCCUGAUGAGCCGUAAUGCCAUUAAUUUGGUGUUGCGGGGAAUUUGGACUGUUACUUUGAAAAAUUAGAGUGUUUAAAGCAAGCUAACGCUUGAAUACAUUAGCAUGGAAUAAUGAAAUAGGACGUUUGAUUCUAUUUUGUUGGUUUCUAGGAUCGACGUAAUGAUUAAUAGGGAUAGUUGGGGGCAUUAGUAUUCAAUUGUCAGAGGUGAAAUUCUUGGAUUUAUUGAAGACUAACUACUGCGAAAGUAUUUGCCAAGGAUGUUUUCAUUAAUCAAGAACGAAAGUUAGGGGAUCGAAGACGAUCAGAUACCGUCGUAGUCUUAACCAUAAACUAUGCCGACUAGGGAUCGGAUGAUGUUAAUUUUUUAAUGUACUCAUUCGGCGCCUUA
rnacentral:rRNA from 1 species